rnacentral:lncRNA from 1 species
CUAUCCACGACGAGAAGUCGAAGGAAGCGGAACCGCACGCUCGAACGGCCUCCAAUCGGCGCAACUACGACAUGCACGCGCUCGAACGGCUCCCCGGCGCGACGUCGGUGUCGAUCCGAACUCCACCCAAAAGCUUCACCACGUACGGCUCAAAAACUAGAGAGAGAGAGAAGGAGAAAACAUGCAAACCUUCUCUCAGCCUCUCUACACGUAUAUGAAGAGGUAGGAGAGAGG